rnacentral:rRNA from 1 species
UACGGGGGGGGUAAGCGUUGUUCGGAAUUACUGGGCGUAAAGGGCUCGUAGGCGGCCAACUAAGUCAUACGUGAAAUCCCUCAGCUUAACUGGGGAACUGCGUGUGAUACUGGAUGGCUUGGAUUUGGGAGAGGGAUGCGGAAUUCCAGGUGUAGCGGUGAAAUGCGUAGAUAUCUGGAGGAACACCGGUGGCGAAGGCGGCAUCCUGGACCAAUAUUGACGCUGAUGCGCGAAAGCCAGGGGAGCAAACGGG